UCCUACGGGAGGCAGCAGUGGGGAAUUUUCCGCAAUGGGCGCAAGCCUGACGGAGUGACGCCGCGUGGGGGACGAAGGCCUUCGGGUCGUAAACCCCUGUCAGAGGGAAAGAAGGUGUCGGCCGUGAAUAGCGGUCGGCAUUGACGGUACCUUCAGAGGAAGCCCCGGCCAACUCUGUGCCAGCAGCCGCGGUAAGACAGAGGGGGCAAGCGUUGCUCGGAAUCACUGGGCGUAAAGGGCGCGUAGGCGGGUUCGUAAGUCGGUCGUGAAAUCUGCGGGCUCAACCCGGAGGGGACGGCCGAGACUGCGGGUCUUGAGGGGUGCAGAGGAGUCUGGAAUUCCCGGUGUAGCGGUGAAAUGUGUAGAGAUCGGGAGGAACACCGGUGGCGAAGGCGGGGCUCUGGGCACACCCUGACGCUGAGGCGCGAAAGCGUGGGGAGCAAACGGGAUUAGAUACCCCGGU
rnacentral:rRNA from 1 species